CCUAGAAUUUCUUCUCCGCAGAGGGACGACUCCUCUGCUUUCCCAACCCAGAAAAAAGGAGCUUCAGAAGGUGAAAUUAAUGGUGACGCGGAUGUGUUAAUGCUUCUCAGGCAGCAAAAGGCUCCUUCGUUGCCUUUGGGGCGAGCCAAUAGGCUUCUGGAGGCUUCCAGCAAUGGUGAUUUGUAUGGAAACAGCCCCCCACCCCCCAUUUGAGUCCUAAAUGCUGUUGUUCUCCAGGGCUGGGUGUGGAGCACAAAGCUUCCAUCCCUAUCUGUACGAGGAACCAAACCCAUGAAACUCUGGGGGAAAGACCCUGCUGAUAUUCAGCUUGAUCCUUUUCAUAUGUUUUCUCCACAGACAUACACACAGCUGGCUUGGACAUUCACAGCUGAAGCAGGACCCAACCCCUAGCACAAUGGUCCUUGAGGCAUAAAAUAAUAAUAAUAAUAAUAAUAAUAAUAAUAAUAAUAAUAAUAAUAAUUUAUACCCUGCCACUCUGGGCAGCUCCCAAAACAUAGCUGUCAAGCGUCCCUUAUUUGGCGGGACAGUCCCUUAUCCCAGUGCCAUGUCCCGCUGCUGUCCCUUAUUGAUGAGGCUUCGUUUGGCUGCUGGCUGGGCUUUCUGCCUUUGGCUCAGAGGGGCUCAGAAGUUGAACGUACCUGUGCCCGGAAAAUCCCUUAUUUUGGCUGCUGAUCCCUUAUUUUCGAGGCUGCUGGUCCCUUAUUUUCAAAUCUGUAAGUUGACAGCUAUGUCCCAAAAGAAUAUUAAAAAUGCAAUAAAACAUCAAACAUUAAAAACUUCCCUAAACAGGGCUGCCUUCAGAUGUCUUCUAAAAGUCAGAUUGUUGUUUAUUUCCUUGACAUCUGAUGGCAGGGCAUUCCACAGGGUGGGUGCCACUACCGAAAAGGCCCUGUGCCUGGUUCCCUGUUACAUUGCUUUUCGCAGUAAGGGAACCACCAGAAGGCCCUCGGCGCUGGAGCUCAGUGUCCGAGCUGAACGAUGGGGGUGGAGACACUCCUGUGGCCCAGAGCUGUUUAAGGCUUUAUAGGUCAAAACCAGUGCUUUGAAUUAGGCCCUGAACCUAAUUGGCAGUCAGUGCAGUUGGGCCAGGAUUGGUGAAAUCUGUUCAAACCGUCUUGUCCCGGGGAGCAACCUGGCCACCAAAUUCUGCACCAGCUGAAGUUUCCAAACCGUCUUCAGAGGCAGCCCCAUGAAUAACGGGUUGCAGCAAUCUAACCUUACAACCCUCAGCCGAGACCAAUACCAAAUUAAACUCCAUGUUUGUAAAAGCAGUUGCCGACUUAUAUCUAUAUAAUGCAACACUUUAGAGAGGAAAUAUAAACGGUUCCAAAAUAUGGGAAUUUUAUUGCAAACUCAUAACAUACGGAAUUUUCAUUUAAAGAGAACGAGGGGUGGGUGUGAUGGGUGGAGAGGCCCUCUGCAGCAAUCUGAUAGAUAGGUUGAAAAUCUCCAGCCACCCAGACCUCACACAGGUUUGAAGUUUUAGGGUAAUCAGCCCGAGCUUGUAACUAAGAGCAAUCAGAAGCAAAGGCCAUCCCUCAGGGAACCAUAUAAGCAUGACUCACUGUGGGGCGGUGGGUGUAGAAAGCGAGGUUUGCAGAUUAGGCUCGCCUGUGCUUUGAGAAAGCAAAGAGCGAUAACACAUUGCUGAAACUCAUCCCCAUCAGCCGUCUGACCUGCUAGGAGACACCUCUGUUAAAACACCUUCCGCCCAAACUUCCUCUCAGGAUCCGGACAGUGGAGUGGGCAACUAUAAUCAAAUCUCGGUCUUGUCCACAUCUGCACCACACAUCUAAAGCACUCUCACGCCACAUCGUUGUUGUUGUUGUUUAGUCGUUUAGUCAUGUCCGACUCUUCGUGACCCCACGGACCAGAGCACGCCAGGCACUCCUGUCUUCCACUGCCUCCCGCAGUUUGGUCAAACUCAUUUUAGUACCUUCAAGAACACUGUCCAACCAUCUCGUCCUCUGUCGUCCCCUUCUCCUUGUGCCCUCCAUCUUUCCCAACAUCAGGGUCUUUUCCAGGGAGUCUUCUCUUCUCAUGAGGUGACCAAAGUAUUGGAGCCUCAGCUUCACGAUCUGUCCUUCCCGUGAGCACUCAGGGUUGAUUUCCUUCAGAAUGGAGAGGUUUGAUCUUCUUGCAGUCCAUGGGACUCUCAAGAGUCUCCUCCAGCACCAUAAUUCAAAAGCAUCAAUUCUUUCGCCCAUUCACGCCACAUCAGGACUUCCCAAAAGGAAUCCUGGAAGCUGUCUCUUAUUAAGGGUGCUGAGGGUUGUUUGGAGACCCCUAUUCUCCUCGCAGAGCUACAAUUCCCAGAAUUGCCCAGGAAGAGGGAUGGAUUCUUAAUUCACUCAGAGGCAGUGUGGGAGGAAUCCUUUACCCAAGAAUCUGGCAUAAAGCAAGCUGGUGUAAAUUAGAUAAAAGGUAAAGGGACCCCUGACCAUUAGGUCCAGUCGUGGCUGACUCUGGCAUUGCGGUGCUCAUCUCACUUUAUUGGCUGAGGGAGCUGGCGUACAGCUUCCGGGUCAUGUGGCCAGCAUGACUAAGCCGCUUCUGGCGAACCAGAGCAGCGCACGGAAACGUCAUUUACCUUCCCGCCGGAGUGGUACCUAUUUAUCUACUUGCACUUUGACGUGCUUUCGAACUGCUAGGUUGGCAGGAGCAGGGACCAAGCAACGGGAGCUCACCCCGUCGUGGGGAUUCGAACCGCCGACCUUCUGAUCGGCAAGUCCUAGGCUCUGUGGUUUAACCCACAGCGCUACCCGCGUCCCUUUGUAAAUUAAUCAGGCAUAACAUUAUUCCAGAGCCAAACCCUAUCCCAGAGCAAAACUACUGCUGGAUGAGCCUGUCAGAGGGAAAAUAAACUUGAGUUUGACUUAUGCUGCCCUUUUUGCCAGGUCACAAGACUGAACUGAGUUAUGAUCCAGAUUAAGUCCCCCAUUGCCCGGCCACCCUCCACAAAUGCCCCUAUUUUGGACUUACACUGGCCUUGAACCUGCCAUCUUUCGCUCAACUGUCUGAGCCCUGAAUGAGCAACUAAUGGCAGUAUAUCUUCAGCUGAGCUGGGACUGGGGACUCAACACCAGCUGAAUUGAUGGAGAUCCACAGCUUAUUAAGCUGCUCAUUCUGAUAGCUCUUGUCAUAGGUUUCCAUGCGCCCACACCCCAAUAUCUCUGAAUACCAGAUUCUGGGAACAUAUAACAGGAGAAGUAUAUUAUCUUCCUUGUGAACUUUCCAGAGGCAUUUGCUCAGCCAUUCUUUGAAAUAAAACACUGGACUAGAUAGAUCCUUGGACCGAUCUAGUAAAGUUUUUUUAUUUCAGGGUAUGGAAUGGGGUGAAACAUCCCCCUGAAAAAUGGAUUAAACAUUUGAAGUAGAUAAAUCCUUAAGAAUUUUCAGUGGUUGUAAUUCUUGCCCUUCAAUGCAAAGUGAUCAAACAUUACUUUGCUUCUCUCUCUCUCUUAGAAUUACACUCCGUCUAAAAAGUUGCUAAAUAUCUCAUAAACACUUUUUUCAGUGGACAAGUUGGCUUACACAGUGCUUUCCCCCCUAGAAAAAUAGGUGCUGAGACUCACCAUGGAGUUUUUACAGUAAGUGUCACACUUUUUAACUACAAUAAAGGUGCCGGUACUGUGUGUCUUUGAGUACCCCUUGAAGAAGAAAAAGCACUGGGCUUGCAGAUGUGGGCCAUGGAUAUUUAGCCAAGCUUUAGUGCAAUACACUAUAAUUCCUGGAAGACCUGCUCCCUGCCUUACAGGCCUUUUCCACCUGGGAGGAAGGCAGGGCUGGACUGACUCCAACUACAAAAGCUGAGGCUUCUGAACAGACUCUUGCAUUGGAGUAGUGUUGCUGUUGUUGGUAAUAAUUCUUUGUCAUUAUUUCUGGAUCUUACGAUUUAUGUGGAAAUUGUCGUGUACAAUUUGAUGCGUUUUGUUUAUUUUUUCUGAUUACUUUGGCUACAUUUGUAAUUAUGUAAAUCUUUUUAUGUGGAGUGUAGAUUUAACUUUGGAAAGGCGGCAUACAAAUAAAAGGAUUCCUGUGAUGUUCUUUUUCUGUUCCCAUCAAGGCUUCCUGGUCCUAUUAGGCUGAAACACUGGAUGCAGAACUUUUAGAGGCAGAUACAUAAGUGGCCAGUUCUUUGGUCCUUCCUGUUGAUUUAAUGUGCACUGAGACACCUGUGACCUCCAGGUGACCUCCAGGGCCUUUGCUUUCCAUGUUAUUAUCAAGAAGAAGGGAAAUAAAAAAUGCCCGUCACUUAUGUUAUGGUGAACCCUGCUCCAUUUGGACAUCUAAAGAAAAUCCUUGUCAACUCGCUGCAAGAUUCCUGACAUCAGACAAGAAAAGCCUCCAUCCUAUGAUGUGUGUAAAAGGCUGGGAUGCUGGGCUCUAAGGUUUCUUCUCCUUUUUUGACACAGCCCAAUUAAGUACAAAUGUUUCUGAUGCCUUCCAGGAUGAACCCUUUAUUCACGCAAGAAACACAUGAUUCCCCCAGAAGGACAGCUGCAUCUGGACAAUUUGGGAACCUCCCAAGUGCUGUCUUUAAUAUAUGAUUUUUAAAAUAUUAAUAAAAAAGCAAUGAACGCUGGAGACUGUAUUUCUCUCCAGAUCACUUUGAAAGCAAGUUGGCAGGCCCAGGCUGCAGAUGGCUGCUCUUGACCACUGCAAUGUCACAUUCGGGAUGUUCCCUGGCUUGACGUAACAAGAUCUACAUGGUUUUGCAUUCAACCACAUGGCGUCUGCUACACAGAAAGCAGACUUCGCCUCUCGGCAGGGCAUGCAUGCAAAUUCAUGUGAUUGCCACUCGUGUCAAGGAGGAAGAAAAGAAACCACCACUCACCUCCUGAGCUUUGGAAAGGGCUCUACAAGGCAUCCUCCACCUCUUCACCUUCCUUCAUCGUGACUUGAAGUGGCAUGGAGACAAACCACAAUGUGGGAGAUGAACCAUAAGUGGUGAGCCAAUAAAGAUGCAAAAUGCCCGGCGAUAUGGAUGAGAUGUGGUUGCAUUGAAUGGAGGCAGUGUUAGACCCAACAUAUGCAUAAAGGAGCAUCGGGUGGUGAAGAUUUUACCUGGACUGUACCAUUUCAGG
rnacentral:lncRNA from 1 species